GAUGAAGAACGUAGCGAAAUGCGAUAAGUAAUGCGAAUUGCAGAAUCCGUGAGUCAUCGAAUCUUUGAACGCACAUUGCGCCCUUUGGUAUUCCGAAGGGCAUGCCUGUUCGAGCGUCAUUAUCACCCCUCAAGCCCCGGCUUGGUGUUGGGCUCUCGGUGGUCGUCUCCGACCACCCGUCUCAAAGAUAGUGACGGCGUCCCAGAGGGAACCGGUACGAGGAGCUUUCACGAGCAUGUACGCGGGACGACUCUGCGGGCGACGGUCUUAUUUACUUUAUAUACAAGUGUUGAACUCGGAUCAGGUAGGAAUACCCGCUGAACUUAAGCAUAUCAAUAAGCGGAGGA
rnacentral:misc_RNA from 1 species